CAGAACGCAGCAUGUCCAGACCCGGCCGGCCGGGCUGGUUCUCGCAGCUCAUUCACUGGGCCUGGAAGUCCCCGCCCGUGGAGUAGAAGGUUGGCUGUUGGACACACACUUUUGAGAUCCAGCUGUAAUCUCCAAGACUGGGACGUUGUGAGCAGCUGGAUUUGCACAAUGUGUUUGAAGUUUUCCUUCCUGGGAGGUGUCUGAACUCUUUCUUGGCGUGACGAAGACUGUUGAACAAGCACAGGAAAUCUCUUGGUGAACUGGAAGAAUGUGGACUUCAGGAUUCUAAAUGAAAGGAGGAAGACGUGAUAAAUGGACAAGAAGG